GUGGGAGUCUGGAGAGGCGAGGAUAUCAGUGACAAGCGAAAGGCGUGUAAUAUAUUCAUCAAUCAUCACAGCCGGCAAGCCACCACCUCAAAGCCUCUCGAGCUCUACGUGGGAAGUCACACAUGUGGGCGUCGCUAUUUCAUUUGAUACAACGGGGGAAAUAGCGGACAAACACCCCCACGUGAAAUCCACUACACGUGCGUCGUUACUUACGCCUCUGCACGAGAGGUAAUUGGUUUAGGGUUUAAAUGAAACCACGUGCUCCCUCCCUGCCCCACACUCCCUUAAAGGUGUCAAAUUGAUUCCCCCUUGUCAAUUAUAAACCUACACAAACUAACCAAAAUAACCGAUGUGGGACUCUAUUUUUACAUCAGUUAAACCGGUAAAUAUAUUUGUUUGUAUAUUUCACAGCUUUCAUUUUCCAUCACUU
rnacentral:lncRNA from 1 species